UAGUUUCUCUGAGGUAAUCUUGACUUCUAAACCAUCCCCUAGUUAGUUUGAGUUACUCUUAGUGUCUCUUAUGUGUUGGGUACUGUAAUAGGGUUUUUUACAGUUCCUUUGAAAAAAACCCUAGAGAAUGAGACAUUGUAAAAGUUAUCUUUUAAAAACAUUGAGGUUAUUUUUGUGGCAUUCACUGAACCCCGGUCACAUUGGUGUGAUUGGAAUUUCAAAAUGACGUUUCCUUUUUGUAAAACCUGAAAUACCCCUUAGCCCUUUAUGUUUUGACAGGGGUAUUUGACCCCAAAUGUUGCCUUUGACCUUGUUUUUGAAACCUAUGCUAAAUUUCCUUCAUUUUGGUGUAAUAGAGACUUGCGUUGGACCGACAAGCGUGAAUGAGUGAGGGACCUCUAAGUGACGCAAAGAGGAACCGACGGAGAGCUCACGAUAGAAUGACAGUAGUAGGGUGCAGGAAGUGAGAUUCUGUUGAGGAGUCGCCAAGUCGACGUGAUGACGUUGGGAUUAUUUUGGGAAAGAGUUAUGUUUUGUUGAUCAACUCCUCCAUAGUUGGUUCCAUGAUUUUUUUUUGGUUGAAUUAACGAUGUAAACCCCAGAUUUGAACUAUAUGUAUGAACAUGUUUAAUUUCCAUUAUGUGAAUGAUGUGUACUGAGUUACUAUACUAAUAUAUAUGUAUUCAGUUAA